rnacentral:lncRNA from 1 species
AUUCAUUUAAUAUUUCUGCUUUUCUAUAUUGGUUGUGAGAUUGUUAUGUCUUAUUUUGUGUUCAUUUUUUUUUUUUGUGAAGGUGCCAUGUACUUCUGAGAACAAGGUAUACUCUUUCUGCAGUCAGUUUUCCUCCAGAGGUCUAUCACACUCAUUUUACAGAUGAGAGAUUGAGGCAAACAGUGUUGUGUCUUGUGUGGAGUCACACAGCUAGUUACUCAUGAAUUUUAAUCUGGAGUGUGGCACUGGUGAUGGAUGAGUCCUUUGCUGUUCAGCAGGUUUGGAUCCACUGGGCUGAGCUGAUCUUUAUUUCUGCCAGUCACUACCAACCUAUCGGCCACUGUUAAUGUUACCAUCUAGUGUCAACUGCUGUUAGAAGCUGGGACCUCUAGAUCUCCACAAAUAACUGGAUAAUUCAGAAAAUUUCUGUUUCAGAAUACUCAUUCAACUGAUAUCAAAAAAGAAACAGAAAAUAUAUGUCAUAAAGAAACUGGAAAUUCUCCCCAUUUGGCUUGGCUCAUCCCAGCAUCCUUUUUGGAAAACAAAUGGCACUGUGUAAGUAAAACAAAAAUAAAAACUAAAGAUUAUGAGCUCCAUGAGGGCAGGGAUCACCUCUUCAUUUUCUCUGCAUUCUUCCCGGCACCUAAUUCAAGACCCCUUAACAAACAAGUUUCCCAUCAGAACUUCCAGGGGGUGGAGCCAAGAUGAUGAUAAUCCAAAGUAGCUCCAUGUCACCAUGAAAAUUCUCUCUAACCAAGAUUAAAAUAUCACCACAAAACAAAUGCAUAAGUAAAAGAACCAACAAUGAGACAGAGAGAAACAACUUUUAAGAAAAGAAAAAUCCAAAAGGUAGGCAAAGAAUAACUGGGGCACUGUGGUGAGAAGGGAACAGAGUCAGAAAGAAGUUGUAGCAAGGAGAGAAGAGCAAACCAAGA